CAACUAGAAACAAAGAAAAGUUGCAAGACCACUAGCAGCUGGUCAGCAGACCAAAGCUGGGAACUGACAGUACUACACGGCUUUUUGUAGCAUCCUAAACAGAAGGAUAUUGAAGGGAGCUGAUUCUGCUUUGAUCCUUAUGCUUGUUGUCAAAGCGCUUGGGAUUGAAGAGACUGUUGGCUACAAUUGACUGUGACAAUUAGGAGAUGAUCAGAGCCCUAGAGUGGAGCACUUAAAGGGGGAACCUCUAGUUCUGUGGUUGGCUUGCUGUAUGGGGAAGACAAGCAUCAAAAGAACAGCAAGUGCUUUACAGACAAAGAACCAUGAUCCCAGCCACAAGAACUUACCAUCUGAAUUUGCAGGGUGAAGUGCAAAGGAUCUAUUUUCGUUUCCUAGAAAAGAGAGGUUGUAAGAAAAUGAGCCCUACCGGAAGUGAAGGAAUCAUUCAGGCAAAAGGAGUGGUUUUCCUAAGCAACCGGAUCAAAGUGAAAACUCUCAGAAUAGCUCACUAACAGGUUUCCUUUUGGACAUAGGUUCAUCAAAAGUAUCAGAUACUCGGUGUUUUAAUUCAUACUCCUCCAGCAAAUGGAAAUUCAGUGGGAAAUGUCCCAAGAACCUACACUGUCAGCAAGCCCUGCAAAUAUCUUGGAAUCUCCUUUCUUUUUUUGUAAAAGACUUUAAAAAUAAUUUGGUGGAUCUCUAAUCUAGUUAUCUGCUGUAACUGUAAUAUACACUGCAUGUCUGACUCCCACAGACGAAGGCCUCUGUUUCCUUUCUGCCAGUACCUUAGUAUCUGCCUUGCCCAGGAGUCUGCUGAUGAAGACUUCCUGUUUGUUUUGAGUCACUGUUGGAGUGAUAAAUAUAUUUCAGCUUUCUCUUCGGAGAGGAAAGAAACCAGCUGCCCUGAACUAAAGAGAAAAUAUGUAGAAAUUCCACCAAAGGGCUCUGUUAUCAUGGAGCUCCUAUGGAAGCAUAAAAAUGAGAAACAUAAGCUAUGACAAAAGAAAAAUUUACAUAUUAAACCAU